AACGCACGAGACCUGCGGACCUGCGGAAGGAUCAUUACCGAGUUUACAGCUCCCAAACCCAAUGUGAACGUUACCAAACUGUUGCCUCGGCGGGAUCUCUGCCCCGGGUGCGUCGCAGCCCCGGACCAAGGCGCCCGCCGGAGGACCAACCAAAACUCUUUUGUAUACCCCCUCGCGGGUUUUUAUAUCUGAGCCAUCUCGGCGCCUCUCGUAGGCGUUUCGAAAAUGAAUCAAAACUUU
rnacentral:misc_RNA from 1 species